AUGGUUGUCGUCAGCUCGUGUCGUGAGAUGUUGGGUUAAGUCCGCACGAGCGCAACCCCUAUUGUUAGUUGCCAUCAUUCAGUUGGGCACUCUAGCGAGACUGCCGGUAAUAAACCGGAGGAAGGUGGGAUGACGUCAAAUCAUCAUGCCCUUAUGACCUGGGCUACACACGUGCUACAAUGGUUGGUACAACGAGUUGCGAGUCGGUGACGGCGAGCUAAUACUCUUAAAGCCAAUCUCAGUUCGGAUUGUAGGCUGCAACUCGCCUACAUGAAGUCGGAAUCGCUAGUAAUCGCGGAUCAGCACGCCGCGGUGAAUACGUUCCCGGGCCUU
rnacentral:rRNA from 1 species